UACGGAGGGUGCAAGCGUUAUCCGGAUUCACUGGGUUUAAAGGGUGCGUAGGUGGGUUGGUAAGUCAGUGGUGAAAUCUCCAGGCUUAACUUGGAAACUGCCAUUGAUACUAUCAAUCUUGAAUACCGUGGAGGUCAGCGGAAUAUGUCAUGUAGCGGUGAAAUGCUUAGAUAUGACAUAGAACACCAAAUUGCGAAGGCAGCUGGCUACGCGGAUAUUGGACACUGAUGCACGAAAGC
rnacentral:rRNA from 1 species